rnacentral:rRNA from 1 species
CCUACGGGAGGCAGCAGUGAGGAAUAUUGGUCAAUGGGCGAGAGCCUGAACCAGCCAAGUCGCGUGAGGGAAGACGGUCCUAUGGAUUGUAAACCUCUUUUCUCGGGGAGCAAAGCGGCCUCGUGACGCCACACGUGAGACUACCCGAAGAAAAAGCCUCGGCUAACUCCGUGCCAGCAGACACGGUAAUACCGAGGAUGCGAGCGUUCUCCGGAUUUAGUGGGUUUAAAGGGUGCUUAAGGGGACUGGAAAGUCAGCGGUAAAAUCGCGAGCCUAAACCUCUUUCCGCCGUUUAAACUGUCGGUCGUGAGUGGGCGAGAAGUAUGCGGAAUGCGUGGUGUAGCGGUGAAAUGCAUAGAUAUCACGAAGAACUCCGAUUGCGAAGGCAGCAUACUGGAGAGCGACUGACGCUGAGGCACGAAAGCGUGGGUAUCGAACAGGAUUAGAUACCCUGGUAGUC